rnacentral:rRNA from 1 species
AGAUUGAACGCUGGCGGAAUGCUUUACACAUGCAAGUCGAACGGCAGCACGGGGGUAACCCUGGUGGCGAGUGGCGAACGGGUGAGUAAUACAUCGGAACGUGCCCAGUCGUGGGGGAUAACGUAGCGAAAGCUACGCUAAUACCGCAUACGAACUCUGGUUGAAAGCGGGGGACUCGCAAGAGCCUCGCGCGAUUGGAGCGGCCGAUGGCAGAUUAGGUAGUUGGUGGGGUAAAGGCUCACCAAGCCUGCGAUCUGUAGCUGGUCUGAGAGGACGACCAGCCACACUGGGACUGAGACACGGCCCAGACUCCUACGGGAGGCAGCAGUGGGGAAUUUUUGGACAAUGGGCGAAAGCCUGAUCCAGCCAUGCCGCGUGUGUGAAGAAGGUCUUCGGAUUGUAAAGCACUUUAAGUUGGAGGAAGGUUGUAACUUAAGUACGUUGCUAACUUUGACGUUUACCGACUAGAAUAAGCACCGGCUAACUUCGUGCCAGCAGCCGCGGUAA